AAUGGCUAAGAGUUUCUAGCAGUUUUUUCCAUAAAAGAACUACAAGGUGUUUCUUUUAGACCCCUACUCACUUUCCGUUAUAUUUAUGUGUGAAUAAAGUUCAGUCAGGGCUUCCCUGGUGGCUCAGUUGGUAACGAAUCCUCUUGCAAUGCAAGAGACUAACCUGCAAUGUAGGAACCCUGGGUUCGAUCCCUGGGUCAGGAGAAGGAAAUGGCAGUGUACUCCAGUCUUCUUACCUGGAGACUCCCAUGGACAGAGGAGCCUGGCGGGUCAUAGUCCAUGGGGUCACAAAGAGUCAGACACAACUGAAGCAAUUGAGCCUGUACACAAAGUUCAGUCAUUCUCAGUGUGCUAGUUAUCUUCAUGAAGUUACCAGUUAACCAGUUGGCCUCACUUGCAGACAACUUUUAUUACAUACAGUUGACCAUGCAGUGAAGAGGCCAGUGUGAAACUUACAUUUUUCAUAGCCUGGUUAUGGAACUGGAAAACUUCAAGGAGAUACAGCCAUGUGAAGACCCAGAGACAAAGGGAGAAUAGCUUAUGAAGACAAAGGCACAAACUGGAGUGAUGCGUCUAGAAGCUAAUGUGGAUAGCAAUGUGGAGUGUUCUGCCCCGAGUAAUCACUGAGGUGCUCAAUAUGAUGGAGGCUUUGCUACUGGAUCAUCACCUUUUACUAAGGCAGAGCAGAAGAGAACGUAAAAGGUCCUUCAGGCUCGGUGACCUCUUCAUCUUUCCCUGCUCACCAUCCACCCACAGUCCCUAGACCCAGGGCUUCUUAUCCUCUCUUGGGAAAGGAGAGGUGGGAAGCCUUUGUUUAUCUCAUGAAGCCCUUUUGCCUGCACCCUACCUGGGCCGGAGCCUGAGACUUAAAAGGCCAGACUUUGAACUUCAAAAAAGCCUCUUUUCUUCAUUUUUGCUCUAACAACACUUCCUGAGUUGGCAGCUUCAUUGUUCAGCUUGAAUGAGGAACAUGCCAGAGUGUAAAUAAAGAAAAUACUAGGAAUCCCCCAAUCCUGUAUACACACCCACCCACCAAAUUAUUAAAGCGUCACACUGGUUGACUUAAGAGGUGUUUUGAAUAACAACAACGACAGCAAAUAUUUAUUAAGCUAUUCUUAGGGCUGGGCACUGUCUUUGGCUGUAGGUCCCUUGUCUCUGACCUCCACUUCAUUCCUUGGCCCUGAAUUUGCAUCCCUA
ensembl:lncRNA